AAAUGAAUAGACGGGGGCCCGCACAAGCGGUGGAGCAUGUGGUUUAAUUCGACGCUACGCGAAGAACCUUACCUGGGCUUGAACUGCUGGUGGUAGAAGCCCGAAAGGGUAACGACCCGGAGCAAUCCGGGAGCCAGUAGAGGUGCUGCAUGGCUGUCGUCAGCUCGUGUCGUGAGAUGUUGGGUUAAGUCCCGCAACGAGCGCAACCCUUACCCUUAGUUGCCAGCGGGUAAUGCCGGGCACUCUAAGGGGACCGCCCCGGAUAACGGGGAGGAAGGCGGGGAUGACGUCAAGUCAGCAUGGCCUUUAUGUCCAGGGCUACACACGUGCUACAAUGGACGGUACAGAGGGAAGCAAGGCCGCAAGGUAGAGCUAAUCCCUAAAGCCGUCCUCAGUUCGGAUUGCAGGCUGCAACUCGCCUGCAUGAAGUCGGAAUCGCUAGUAAUCGCGGAUCAGCUACGCCGCGGUGAAUACGUUCUCGGGCCUUGUACACACCGCCCGU
rnacentral:rRNA from 1 species